GGUUGCAUGUUCUGUCAUAGCCA
rnacentral:siRNA from 1 species